rnacentral:rRNA from 1 species
UACCAGACUCCUACGGGAGGCAGCAGUGGGGGAUAUUGCACAAUGGGGGGAACCCUGAUGCAGCGACGCCGCGUGGGUGAAGGAGCGUUUCGGCGCGUAAAGCCCUAUCGGCAGGGAAGAAGGAGGACGGUACCUGACUAAGAAGCCCCGGCUAACUACGUGCCAGCAGCCGCGGUAAUACGUAGGGGGCAAGCGUUAUCCGGAUUUACUGGGUGUAAAGGGGGCGCAGACGGCAGCGCAAGCCAGGAGGGAAAGCCCGGGGCCCAACCCCGGGACUGCUCUUGGAACUGCGCGUCUGGAGUGCAGGAGGGGCAGGCGGAAUUCCUGGUGUAGCGGUGAAAUGCGUAGAUAUCAGGAGGAACACCGGUGGCGAAGGCGGCCUGCUGGACUGCGACUGACGUUGAGGCCCGAAAGCGUGGGGAGCAAACAGGAUUAGAUACCCUAGUA